rnacentral:rRNA from 1 species
CUCUGUGACUCCUACGGGAGGCAGCAGUGGGGAAUAUUGCACAAUGGGCGCAAGCCUGAUGCAGCAACGCCGUGUGAGUGAAGAAGGUUUCGGAUCGUAAAACUCUGUCCUAAGGGAAGAAACAAAUGACGGUACCUUAGGAGGAAGCCCCGGCUAACUACGUGCCAGCAGCCGCGGUAAUACGUAGGGGGCAAGCGUUAUCCGGAAUCACUGGGCGUAAAGGGUGCGUAGGCGGCUUAGCAAGCCAGGGGUGAAAGGCAUUGGCUCAACCAAUGUAAGCCUUUGGAACUGUUAGGCUUGAGUGCAGGAGAGGGUAAGUGGAAUUCCUAGUGUAGAGGUGAAAUUCGUAGAUAUUAGGAGGAACACCAGUGGCGAAGGCGACUUACUGGACUGUAACUGACGCUGAUGCACGAAAGCGUGGGUAGCGAACAGGAUUAGAUACCCUGGUAG